ensembl:lncRNA
GAAAAAGGGGGAUAGAGUGGAUGCUAGAAAGGACUCGCAAUACUUUUUUGCUUGUUUUCUCUACCAUGAAGAAUCAUUUUUAUUUUUUAAAUUUAUUUUAAAAAUGUUUUUCUAUCCCUUCCCUCUUCCCUCCCCCCUCCCGGAGCUGACAAGCAAAGAGUCAUUUUUAGCCUGGGAAGAUUAAAACAGAAUUAGUUAUCAGGAAAUUGGAACAAAGGUAAGUGAGAAUAUGUUCAGAGUUCAAUGAGUUCAAGUCGCCAGAGCUAGGCAAAUCACAUUCACAGUGUUUCAGAAAAGAACUGGCAGAUGUAAUUGCUGAGUCACUAUGAACUUGGAAUAAAUGUGGACACUCAAGAGGUGUCACAGAACUGGAGAUGGGCAAAAAUGUUGAUUUUCCAAAAAAGGGAAUGUUUGGAUUCUCUGGACUAGAUGCAAAUGAAUUUGACGUCCAUUCUUUUGCCAGAAUUCUUGAAGGGAUUUCUAAAAGGCCUAUUUGUGAAUACUUAGAGAGGCAGGUUAAAAAACAGAAAAUGAAUUAGAUGCAAUACACUAGACAAGGAAGACUCAGAAAUAACAACUCAGCAAUGUUCAAUAAACGCAGAAAUAGAAAUUACCUAAGAAAAGACUCCUUAUCUAAAAAGAAUGUUUAAGAAAACUGGAAAGCAUUCCAGCAGAAAUUAGGAGUACAGCACCUUUUUAGCAGUCUGGUUCUGUUCCUGACUGCUGACUUUUCUAAUCUCUACCUCAGCAGGCUCCUUAGCUGGGUAUGUUUCUACCUGAUCUACAAAGAUCCUGUGCCAGUUAUGGAACGGAAAUUAGACUGACAGUUUGUGGGGGAAGGGGCCAACUGGGAGUGGCAGUUGGGUCUUGUGACUAGCACUUCCUUCCUGCCGGGUGGGACUUGCUUCCGGGUGUUGGAGGAGGAAGGAGCUUGUUCAGCCCAGUCUGGUGUGGUGUGCCGCCUCUUCUUGGUUCAGCCCGAAGAUUCAGGCCCAUUCAUCUCUGAAGGGAAAGGAAACUUAAAGAACACAAGCAAACCACAAAACAAUGUCUUCAAGGAAACCUCCCAUCUCCCCCUCCAGCCUGGCCCCAUCAAUGAUCUUCCUCCUCCUCCUCCUCCUCCUCUAAUCCAAAGUACCUUAUACCUUCUAAAUAAUUAUCAGAGCACCAUUAAAUCAAAAGCUCCUUGAAAGUUGGAGCUUUAAAAAGCCUUAUGUCUUUGUGUUUUUGGGACCCCGGAAGGUACUUAACAAGUAGAAAACAUGUAGAACGUUUGUUGGCUUAUUCUGCACGAUGUCUCUCAGUGUCCCCUUAAGACCGUGAUUUCCCGGAGGACAGACCCUACUCAACUUGUAUCAGAUAAUAUUUUUUCAAGUGUCUGCUACAGUGAUAUACAGAAGCCCUGGAACUUGGCAUCUGAGACAGAAACGUCUUGCUAUUGGUUCUAGUUAUGUGCUCUGGGGCCAAGUAAAACAACUUAAAUCUCUCUUUUACAUGCUAGUCCUUUGAAUAUCCCAGGGUAGUCAACAAAAACUCUCCUAAGUUUUCUCUUCUUCAAAGUCAACAUUAAACUCUGGCCUGGUUUAAAGUCAUUCAAAAAUGCAAACGCAAAGCCAGCUCCAGGAAUGUGAUAAACAUUUUAUUUAUUUUUUUAAGAAAGUAGCUUCAGAAAAACAGACAGGAAAAUAAUCUAGAUCAUUUAUUUAUAUAUAUAUAUGUUUUAAUAAAAACCUUUACAUAAUCCUCA